rnacentral:rRNA from 1 species
UACGUAGGGGGCAAGCGUUAUCCGGAAUUACUGGGUGUAAAGGGUGUGUAGGCGGGGCUGCAAGUCAGAUGUGAAAAUUAUGGGCUCAACCCAUAACCUGCGUCUGAAACUGUAGCUCUUGAGAGUGGGAGAGGUAAACGGAAUUCCCGGUGUAGCGGUGAAAUGCGUAGAUAUCGCGCAGAACUCCGAUUGCGAAGGCAGCAUGCCGGCUCCACACUGACGCUGAGGCACGAAAGCGUGGGUAUCGAACAGG